AGGACGAACGUUGGCGGCGUGCCUAACACAUGCAAGUCGAACGUGGCUUAAGUUUACUUAAGUCUAGUGGCGGACGGCAGAGUAAUGCACAGGAACGUACCUCGAGGUGAGGGAUAGCCCUUCGAAAGAAGGGGUAAAUACCACAUGUGCUCGCAAGAGCAAAGCCGCAAGGCGCCAUGAGAACGGCCUGUGUCCUAUCAGGUAGUUGGUGAGGUAAAGGCUCACCAAGCCUAUGACGGGUAGCUGGUCUGAGAGGAUGAUCAGCCUGAUCGGGACUGAGACACGGCCCGAACUCCUACGGGAGGCAGCAGUUGGGAAUUUUGCACAAUGGACGAAAGUCUGAUGCAGCGACGCCGCGUGGAGGAUGAAGGUCUUCGGAUCGUAAACUCCUUUUACUUGGGAAUAAUUAAUGAAGUACCAAGUGAAUAAGCACCGGCUAACUCCGUGCCAGCAGCCGC
rnacentral:rRNA from 1 species